rnacentral:tRNA from 1 species
UUAAUUGAAGCCAAAAUAGAGGCAUAUCACUGUUAAUGAUAAUACUGGAUUAUUAUUCCCAAUUAAA